AUUGAACGCUGGCGGCAGGCUUAACACAUGCAAGUCGAGCGGGGUGAUGGUGCUUGCACUAUCACUUAGCGGCGGACGGGUGAGUAAUGCUUAGGAAUCUGCCUAUUAGUGUGGGGCAACAUAUCGAAAGGGAUGCUAAUACCGCAUACGUCCUACGGGCGAAAGCAGGGGAUCACUUGUUACCUUGCGCUAAUAGAUGGGCCGAAGUCGGAUUAGCUAGUUGGUGGGGUAAAGGCCUACCAAGGAGACAAUCUGUAGCGGGUGUGAGGGGAUAAUCCGCCACACUGGACCUGGGACACGGCCCAGACUCCUACGGGAGGCAGCAGUGGGGAAUCUUGCGCAAUGGGCGAAAGCCUGACGCAGGGACGCCGCGUGAGGGAAGAAGGCUUUCGGGUUGUAAACCUCUUUCAGGAGGGACGAAGCUACUCGGGUGAAUAGCCCAGAGGGUGACGGUACCUCCAGAAGAAGCCCCGGCUAACUACGUGCCAGCAGCCGCCGUAA
rnacentral:rRNA from 1 species